rnacentral:rRNA from 1 species
CCUACGGGCGGCUGCAGUGAGGAAUAUUGGUCAAUGGACGAGAGUCUGAACCAGCCAAGUAGCGUGAAGGAUGACUGCCCUAUGGGUUGUAAACUUCUUUUAUAUGGGAAUAAAACGUUCCACGUGUGGGAUUUUGUAUGUACCAUAUGAAUAAGGAUCGGCUAACUCCGUGCCAGCAGCAGCGGUAAUACGGAGGAUCCGAGCGUUAUCCGGAUUUAUUGGGUUUAAAGGGAGCGUAGGUGGAUUGUUAAGUCAGUUGUGAAAGUUUGCGGCUCAACCGUAAAAUUGCAGUUGAAACUGGCAGUCUUGAGUACAGUAGAGGUGGGCGGAAUUCGUGGUGUAGCGGUGAAAUGCUUAGAUAUCACGAAGAACUCCGAUUGCGAAGGCAGUUCACUGGACUGCAACUGACACUGAGGCUCGAAAGUGUGGGUAUCAAACAGGAUUAGAUACCCUAGUAGUC